GUUAGAAGGUUUACAGGAACGAUAAAGAAAAUCAAAGCUAUCGUAAUUCUCUAUCUUGUAUUCUAGAUCGUUAACCUAAUUAUGCAUGCAAGCAUAUACUUAUAUAAUAAACCUAACAGGCUCUCGGUUGGACAGGCCCAAACCGAAGUACAAAAUAAUUGGACUAAUAGCCGAGCCCAAUAACACAAUAUUAAACAGAUCUUCAACCCAACAAGAAGCGAAGUGGCUCAACAACGUUGGUCGGAGAGUGCACCAGCGUCAUCGUCUCUUAACCCAUUUGACUUUCUUCCUUAUCAGUUUGGGUUUGGCUCCGCCGCUUCACCUUCGAUCGUAUUAUAUGUCUAUCAUCUCACCCUCUCUAUCAAUCAAAGGUUAUUCGCUACAAGCAGAUGACGUUCUUCUCUUGAUUAUCUCUCAUCAAAGGUCAUAUGUGUUUCUUCAGGUGUAAUGGUUCAACAGUUGUAAAAUACAAGGAAGAAACAUAUGUUCGACUUCAUGGGAAACUGAAAGGCUUUUGCCUCCGUUGGAUAGCGUUAACGGCAGUCCUGCCACCGAUGGUGCUUUUGUCCAGGCUCGAAGGGCAUUUUGGUCACUGAAAGGCAUUAUAAGGCUUCAGCAGAAGGACCAUGCUCACUUGCUUUAAACAUCCCUGAAAAAGCUUUUAACAAAUGCAUUUGGUGUUAAGGUCAUUACAUCGAGAUUUCAGGAGUCGAUCCAACUCUACUUGGUUAAAACAUCCCGAACUACUGUAAAGUUCCAAUUCGUUCCAAAUGGUAAUGUAGAAGCUCCAUGAUGUUCUUCGAUUCCUCUAAUAGGAUUGAAGAAAAUUUCUUUGAAGACACUAAUAACACUUCUUUUUCCUCUAAGCCAAAAGAGUAACAUACCUUUAAAAGUUAUUUUACGUUCAAAAUUUUAAGGGGGAGAAGCCUUUGAUCGAAUUCGAUUGUAAUAUACCAAACUUUCAAUUUUUUAUUUGAAAUCUGAGAAUUUUAAGACUAAAAUGUUUUAUUUUUUAAAUCUUACAACUUACCAGAAGUAAUAUAUGAAAUAUUGGAGGACCGAUCUAGCGAAGAUGAGAUAGUAGGAAGGCCUGAUAUUCGUCGGACUUUGGAAGAUUUGGUUAAUAGCAUGAAAGGUAGCAAAAGACUCGAUGGAAAGACAUUUGUGAUCAACCUUAAGUCCAUGGUAUUAUAUCAUUCCCAUUUUCUCUACCAACACUUUCAAAGUAUAUUGUUCUGCAUUAACAUAGUGAUUUGACUAAUUUUUAGAGAUUAAUCUUAUUUUCUAGUUUUUCGAGUCUGAUUCUAAUCAGCCUCCACCUACAAAUCAUCGUGGUGUAAGUUUGUAAAAGCUUUAUUUUUUCUAUUUUUUCGAUUUCAACAAACAUGGAAACAAAAGUUUUUCAUUUAUCAUAUUUGGAAAGCGUAACAUGCAUAUAUUACUAUUAUGAUAAUAAUAAUUAUCAUUUUUUAUAUGCUGGUAAGUGGAUCGAUCUUUGAGAAGCAUACAAAACCUCCAUCACACCUUUUCGCUUCUUACAAAUAUGAAGGAACGAUUCUAUGACAAAAUGGAAAUCAAACUUCAAGGUUCAUGGUUCUGGGCAGACAUGGAUACAAUUUUGUCAAACUAAUUUCUAAAUUUUCUAUUAUAUGUGUGUUUCUGUUUAUUACAAACUACAUUUUUUUUUUUUUUUUUUUUUUUUUUUUUUUUUUUUUUUUGUGAUAAUUAGUUUGCAUUCAUAUUGGUUUUUAUAUUGGUUUGUCAAAUUUCAUAACUCAUUUUAUAUGUUAGAGAUUUUCUACAAUAGAAAGAAUGUUAUAAAGAUGGUUCUGUUGUCCUUAUUGGACUUGAUAUUUGACAAUCUAGAAACAUAUAUUGAAAAUCUUUGGUAUUAAAGUAGGGCUGACAAUUCUCGACACGACACGCGACACGACACGAAAUAAAUGGGUUUGGGUUGAGUUUUUCAACCCGACAACCCGUCAACCCGUUUAUUAAACGGGUCAUAUAUGGGUUUCUCAAAAAAUAAACGGGUUGACCCGCCAACCCGUUUAUAUUCUUAAUAAAAAAAAAUUAUUAUAUUUUUAAAUGUAUUUAUGUAUCAAGUAUUAAUA